UACGUAGGGGGCAAGCGUUGUCCGGAAUCAUUGGGCGUAAAGCGCGCGUAGGCGGCCCGGUAAGUCCGUUGUGAAAGUCAAAGGCUCAACCUUUGAAUGCCGAUGGAUACUGCCGGGCUAGAGUCCGGAAGAGGCGAGUGGAAUUCCUGGUGUAGCGGUGGAAUGCGCAGAUAUCAGGAGGAACACCGAUGGCGAAGGCAGCUCGCUGGGACGGUACUGACGCUGAGGCGCGAAAGCGUGGGGAGCAAACAGG
rnacentral:rRNA from 1 species